AUGAACGCUGGCGGCGUGCUUAACACAUGCAAGUCGAACGGAAAGGCCCAAGCUUGCUUGGGUACUCGAGUGGCGAACGGGUGAGUAACACGUGGGUGAUCUGCCCUGCACUUCGGGAUAAGCCUGGGAAACUGGGUCUAAUACCGGAUAGGACCACAUUUUGGAUGGUGUGGUGGAAAGUUUUUCGGUGUGGGAUGAGCUCGCGGCCUAUCAGCUUGUUGGUGGGGUAAUGGCCUACCAAGGCGUUGACGGGUAGCCGGCCUGAGAGGGUGUACGGCCACAUUGGGACUGAGAUACGGCCCAGACUCCUACGGGAGGCAGCAGUGGGGAAUAUUGCACAAUGGGCGCAAGCCUGAUGCAGCGACGCCGCGUGGGGGAUGACGGCCUUCGGGUUGUAAACUCCUUUCGCUAGGGACGAAGCGUUUUUGUGACGGUACCUGGAGAAGAAGCACCGGCUAACUACGUG
rnacentral:rRNA from 1 species